UAUAUUGAAAAAUGUUUUUUAGCUUCGAACCCCGCUGAAGCGGGUUUUAAACUCAAAACCCUCUGGGUUUUUGUAACUUAAAGCCCACUGGAGGGGGGUGUUAAAACACAAAACCCCUCUUGG
rnacentral:snoRNA from 1 species